rnacentral:rRNA from 1 species
AGCGAACGCUGGCGGCAGGCCUAACACAUGCAAGUCGAACGAACUCUUCGGAGUUAGUGGCGGACGGGUGAGUAACACGUGGGAACGUGCCUUUUGGUUCGGAAUAACUCAGGGAAACUUGUGCUAAUACCGAAUGUGCCCUUCGGGGGAAAGAUUUAUCGCCAUUAGAGCGGCCCGCGUCUGAUUAGCUAGUUGGUGAGGUAACGGCUCACCAAGGCGACGAUCAGUAGCUGGUCUGAGAGGAUGACCAGCCACACUGGGACUGAGACACGGCCCAGACUCCUACGGGAGGCAGCAGUGGGGAAUCUUGCGCAAUGGGCGAAAGGCUGACGCAGCCAUGCCGCGUGAAUGAUGAAGGUCUUAGGAUUGUAAAAUUCUUUCAACGGGGACGAUAAUGACGGUACCCGGAGAAGAAGCCCCGGCUAACUUCGUG